UACGGAGGGUGCAAGCGUUGUUCGGAAUGACUGGGCGUAAAGCGCACGUAGGCGGAUUCGUAAGUCAGGUGUGAAAUCCCGGGGCUCAACCUCGGAACUGCCUUUGAUACUGCGGGUCUUGAGUCCGAUAGAGGUGGGUGGAAUUCCUAGUGUAGAGGUGAAAUUCGUAGAUAUUAGGAAGAACACCGGUGGCGAAGGCGGCCCACUGGAUCGGUACUGACGCUGAGGUGCGAAAGCGUGGGGAGCAAACAGG
rnacentral:rRNA from 1 species